GACCCACCUUCAAUGGCGGCUGCACCAUUAGGUUAUCUUAAUUCAACAUCGAGGUGAUAAACCUUUUCUUUGAUUAGGGCUCUUAGAAAAGAUAAUCCUGUUAUCCCUAAAGUAGCUUUUAUUUAAAGAUCAUUAUUUCUUUUUUGAGAUUAUAAUGGGUCAUUAUAUCUUACUUUGUAAUUAUUAAAUUGAUUAAUUAAAUAAUAAAUUAUUUUAUUAAUGUAGAUUAUCUCUGUUUUUUUUUAGAGACCAUCGCCCCAAUGAAACUACCAAUCUUUCUUUUGAUUUUUUAUUUUAAAAAGAUGAGAAAGAUUAUAGUUAAGCUUUAUAGGGUCUUUUCGUCUUACAAUUUUAUGUAGCAUCUUAACUACAAUUUAAAUUUCUUUUUUAUUUUAUAAGACAGAGGAAUUUUCGUUUAACCAUUCAUACUAUCCACCAAUUAAGUGGCGAGUUAUUAUGCUACAUUCAUACAGUCAUAGUUACUGCAGCCAUUUAGUUUAUGUUAUUCUUUUAAAAAAAGUAGUUAAACCAUUGGGCAGGUUGCACCUUUAAUGUUUGUAAGGGCUAUGUUUUUG
rnacentral:rRNA from 1 species